GCCCUUAUGGCCAAGCGGUAAGGCGUUUGGCUCGUAUCCACGGCACCAAAAGACCCUCGGUUCGAAUCCGAGUGAGGGCA
rnacentral:tRNA from 1 species